rnacentral:rRNA from 1 species
GUGUCAGCAGCCGCGGUAAUACGAAGGGGGCGAGCGUUGUUCGGAUUUACUGGGCGUAAAGGGCGCGCAGGCGGCUCAUUUUGUCAGGCGUGAAAGCCCCGGGCUUAACCUGGGAACUGCGUUUGAUACGGAUGGGCUAGAGUUCGGGAGAGGAGAGUGGAAUUCCCAGUGUAGAGGUGAAAUUCGUAGAUAUUGGGAAGAACACCGGUGGCGAAGGCGGCUCUCUGGACCGAGACUGACGCUGAGGCGCGAAAGCGUGGGGAGCAAACAGGAUUAGAUACCCGGGUAGUCC